rnacentral:rRNA from 1 species
AUUGAACGCUGGCGGCAUGCCUUACACAUGCAAGUCGAACGGCAGCACGGGAGCAAUCCUGGUGGCGAGUGGCGAACGGGUGAGUAAUAUAUCGGAACGUGCCCAGUCGUGGGGGAUAACGUAGCGAAAGCUACGCUAAUACCGCAUACGAUCUAUGGAUGAAAGCGGGGGAUCGCAAGACCUCGCGCGAUUGGAGCGGCCGAUAUCAGAUUAGGUAGUUGGUGAGGUAAAGGCUCACCAAGCCGACGAUCUGUAGCUGGUCUGAGAGGACGACCAGCCACACUGGGACUGAGACACGGCCCAGACUCCUGCGGGAGGCAGCAGUGGGGAAUUUUGGACAAUGGGCGCAAGCCUGAUCCAGCAAUGCCGCGUGCAGGAUGAAGGCCUUCGGGUUGUAAACUGCUUUUGUACGGAACGAAACGGCGAGCUCUAAUACAGUUUGCUAAUGACGGUACCGUAAGAAUAAGCACCGGGUAACUACGUGCCAGCAGCCGCAGUAA